rnacentral:rRNA from 1 species
GACGAACGCUGGCGGCGUGCUUAACACAUGCAAGUCGAACGGAAAGGCCCUGCUUUUGUGGGGUGCUCGAGUGGCGAACGGGUGAGUAACACGUGAGUAACCUGCCCUUGACUUUGGGAUAACUUCAGGAAACUGGGGCUAAUACCGGAUAGGAGCUCCUGCUGCAUGGUGGGGGUUGGAAAGUUUCGGCGGUUGGGGAUGGACUCGCGGCUUAUCAGCUUGUUGGUGGGGUAGUGGCUUACCAAGGCUUUGACGGGUAGCCGGCCUGAGAGGGUGACCGGCCACAUUGGGACUGAGAUACGGCCCAGACUCCUACGGGAGGCAGCAGUGGGGAAUAUUGCACAAUGGGCGGAAGCCUGAUGCAGCAACGCCGCGUGCGGGAUGACGGCCUUCGGGUUGUAAACCGCUUUCGCCUGUGACGAAGCGUGAGUGACGGUAAUGGGUAAAGAAGCACCGGCUAACUACGUGCCAGCAGCCGCGGUGAUACGUAGGGUGCGAGCGUUGUCCGGAUUUAUUGGGCGUAAAGGGCUCGUAGGUGGUUGAUCGCGUCGGAAGUGUAAUCUUGGGGCUUAACCCUGAGCGUGCUUUCGAUACGGGUUGACUUGAGGAAGGUAGGGGAGAAUGGAAUUCCUGGUGGAGCGGUGGAAUGCGCAGAUAUCAGGAGGAACACCAGUGGCGAAGGCGGUUCUCUGGGCCUUUCCUGACGCUGAGGAGCGAAAGCGUGGGGAGCGAACAGGCUUAGAUACCCUGGUAGUCCACGCUGUAAACGGUGGGUACUAGGUGUGGGGUCCAUUCCACGGGUUCCGUGCCGUAGCUAACGCUUUAAGUACCCCGCCUGGGGAGUACGGCCGCAAGGCUAAAACUCAAAGGAAUUGACGGGGCCCCGCACAAGCGGCGGAGCAUGCGGAUUAAUUCGAUGCAACGCGUAGAACCUUACCUGGGUUUGACAUGGAUCGGGAGUGCUCAGAGAUGGGUGUGCCUCUUUUGGGGUCGGUUCACAGGUGGUGCAUGGCUGUCGUCAGCUCGUGUCGUGAGAUGUUGGGUUAAGUCCCGCAACGAGCGCAACCCUUGUUCACUGUUGCCAGCACGUUAUGGUGGGGACUCAGUGGAGACCGCCGGGGUCAACUCGGAGGAAGGUGGGGAUGACGUCAAGUCAUCAUGCCCCUUAUGUCCAGGGCUUCACGCAUGCUACAAUGGCUGGUACAGAGAGUGGCGAGCCUGUGAGGGUGAGCGGAUCUCGGAAAGCCGGUCUCAGUUCGGAUUGGGGUCUGCAACUCGACCUCAUGAAGUCGGAGUCGCUAGUAAUCGCAGAUCAGCAACGCUGCGGUGAAUACGUUCCCGGG